UCGACAGAUGAAAACACUAUAAAAUUAAUUUCCUUUGUAGGAUAACAAAAAAGAAGGAAAUAACAAAACUGUGCUUUAAAUAUCUGUGGUGUGGGUUGAACAUCAGAGGAAAAGAAAACGCAAUAAAUGGAAGGAUAAUGGAAUGGUUCACUCAGUUUGGUUUUUGAAAGACGUAACUUCAUUGUUUGCAUAGCUAAAAGCCAUGUUUAAAUGUCCAAACCAACUUGUUUAUAGACUUUUCAGUUGAGGCCAUUAUUGUCCUUUGGGGAAAACCAUGCUGAUUGUAAUCAGCUAAGAAAUUUACAACUAUUGCACUGAUCAAUAGCUAGAGAUUUUUGUUAGCACAAAGCCAGCCCUCUCUCCAUGUGUUUGUUUUGCCAGAACAGAACUGUUUCUUAACCCUGGUUUCCAUUCAGGUGAUUCUUUUCAACAUCAAAUCCACAAGUAUUGGUAUCUGUUCCUUCCAACUUCAGUCAUUAUAAAGCACCUGAGAUUGGCAGAAAGAAUCCAAACUAUGGGUAAUUUUAUCUAAAGGCUCCUAGCCCUCAUUCUGUGGACACAUAACCUUUAAAGAAUCCUAUGCCCUUAUGGUCAUCAGUGUAGCAAUUGCCCAUCAUCUUUGCAGAUCAUAGUUUAUUUUGUCAUUGUUCCAUCAAGGACUACGAGUGCCAUAAACUGGCUGUUGGUGGAUAACUGGUUCACAGUGCCCUGUAUUCCAUUUAUGGGGUACUAAAUUGUGUCACCUAAGGAGUCAACAGAAGAUACAAAUCUGUGCUCAUUCUUCCCUGGGACUGCUCAAAGACCUUGAGGUGAAAUUUGACCCAGUCGUCUCUCUUUAAUCAGAGUGACUCUCAAUAUGUCUGUUUUAAUACCAUGGUAGUAAAAGAUAAGCUAACACUGCAGGGGAAUGGGAAGUGAGGACUAGGUGUCAGCAGUGCCGGGGAUUUUUUCAGAGAAGUCUCAUGUUAUGAAAAUGGGUUUUCCUUGUCUUCUAAACCAAGCAUCAUUUCCUAAGGAGAUUUAAAGAAAAGGAGACAUGCAACCAAGACAACCCUUUGCAUGCUGUGAUUAGAAAGACUGAUUUCCUCUUUAACCAUUUUAUUCUACUUUU
rnacentral:lncRNA from 1 species